UACGUAGGGAGCAAGCGUUGUCCGGAUUUAUUGGGCGUAAAGAGCGUGUAGGCGGCCUGACAGGUCUGCUGUGAAAACUCGAGGCUCAACCUCGAGAUGUCGGCGGAAACCGUCUGGCUAGAGUCCGGAAGAGGAGAGUGGAAUUCCUGGUGUAGCGGUGAAAUGCGCAGAUAUCAGGAAGAACACCUAUGGCGAAGGCAGCUCUCUGGGACGGUACUGACGCUGAGACGCGAAAGCGUGGGGAGCGAACAGG
rnacentral:rRNA from 1 species